rnacentral:rRNA from 1 species
GCUAAUACCGGAUAACAACAGAUGAUGCCUAUCAACUGUUUAAAAAGAUGGUUCUGCUAUCACUCUUGGAUGGACCUGCGGUGCAUUAGCUAGUUGGUAGGGUAACGGCCUACCAAGGCGAUGAUGCAUAGCCGAGUUGAGAGACUGAUCGGCCACAUUGGGACUGAGACACGGCCCAAACUCCUACGGGAGGCAGCAGUC